UGGAUCAGUUGGUAGAGCAUGGUGUUUGCAACGCCAGGGUUGUGGGUUCGAUUCCCAC
rfam:Salmo salar isolate Sally breed double haploid chromosome ssa09, whole genome shotgun sequence.